rnacentral:lncRNA from 1 species
AGCUCUACCUAUUACUGAUACCCUUCUCAACUGUUUUGUCUUUGGUUCCAGCAUCAGAGGGAUUGAAGUUCUUCCCAACCUCACUGUAUUAAACCUCAGUUAUAAUGCACUCCGAGACCUGAGAAGUUUAGAAAACUGCAUCCACCUGUCUGUGCUGAAUAUGUCUCACAAUCAAGUGAGAGCCCUGGGGGACAUGCCACUCCUGAGCAAACUGACGCGGCUUCACUUGGGUUCCAACAAGCUGAGGUCUCUGGAAGGCAUUCAGAAUUUGCCCCAGCUCUGUGAACUCUAUGUCCAGAAGAACCGGAUUUCCAGCUUGCUGCCUCUCUCUUCCUCGCUGGCUCUCAACGUAUUGGAUGCUGCCAGCAAUGACAUCGGCUCCCUGCCGCAGGCCCUGCAUGUGCUUGGAGGACUCCGCAGGCUGAGACAUCUCAAACUCCAGGGCAACCCGCUGGCCCGGGAUAGCCACUACGUCACUGCAAUCAAACAGGCCACUUCUGUGGAGACCCUGGACGAUGUGCUUCUCAGGGACCCACCUCGCUGCUCAGCCUUGUCUUUGUUCAGCUGGUCUCUUCUCAGAGAAGCAGCGGCCGGUUCAAUGGACUCAGGUCAGACCAAGGAGGAUCUGAAAAAAUCAGCUAGGAGGAUCUUCCUGGAGAGACUGCAGCAUAAGACAGAGAGCACUGAGUGUCGCUGUACAUCACUUGCACCGCAGAAUGCUGGACCUGCGGGAAGAGCUGAGAGAAUACGAAGAAACCUUCAGAACAGAAGUGGAUGGCUGCAUAAGGUGAUUAACGCUGCGGUUCAGCUGCUUUCGAACCCACCACUCCAUCCACCUCCUGACGAUGCCAACAUCUGAUGCCAUUUCUGAUACCUGAACUAUCAAGACGAGUGUUAGGCAGAAAUUGAUGAGAUCCCAUUCCUCCCUGGUCUAGCUGAGUGGCUUUGCUGCAAGGAUUCCAUGACAGAGGCGUGGGAGGCCAUUCGGGCGCCCUGUUCACCUCGCGUGGUUGGGUCUCUCUGGAGUUCCGCACAGCCUUCUUCAGUCCCGACUAACCUAAGUCAUUUUGCAUCAGCUGCAGACUUUAUCACCUCAUUGCUCAGCCCCCCUUCCAGAUAUUCAUAGAUAUGAAGACCAGAAGGGACCAUUAUGAUCAUCUGGUCUGCCGUCCUGCAUAACACGGGCUUGGAUCCUCACCCAAUAGUUUCUGCAGCAAGACCACAUCACUUCCGCUUGAGCUGCGGCAUAUAUCUUACCAAGACAUCCCGUCUUGAUUUAAAGACUUGACAUGAUGGAGAAUCCACCACAGCCCUUUGUAAGUCGUACCAGUGGUUGCCCUCGCUGUUAAAAACUUGCGCCUUAUUUCUAGUGGUAAAGGAGCUGCAGAGUGUGCCAUCAUUAACCUUUUGCUAUGCUGCGCAUGGAUCACUUCUUCCUGCUCUUUGUUCUCUGCCUUUUGCCCACUUUCAUAGAAUCAUUCUAAUCCCUGACUGUGCAUUUGCCCCUCUCUCUCCAUGACUACAGAGGGCUUGUCUGGGAAAUUGACUAGCAUAGGUAUAGCAGAAUAAGGGCUUGUCUGCACUACCGCGCGGGGUCGAUCUAAGAUACGCAACUUCAGCUACGUGAAUAGCGUCGCUGAAGUCGACAUAUUUAGAUCUACUUACCGCGGUGUCUUCACUGAGGUAAGUCGACAGCUGACGCUCUCCCGCGACUCUGCUUUCGCCUCUCGCCCUGGUGGAGUACCGGAGUCGACGGGAGAGCGUUCGGCGGUCGAUUUAUCGCGUCUAGACUAGAGACGCGAUACAUCGACCCCCGCUGGAUCGAUCACUGCCCGCCGAUUCGGCGGGUAGUGUAGACA